ensembl:snRNA U6 U6 spliceosomal RNA
GUGCUCGCUUCAGCAGCACAUAUACUAAAAUUGGAAUGAUACAGAGAAGAUUAGCAUGGCCCCUG